UUAACACAUGCAAGUCGAACGGAAAGGCCCUGCUUUUGUGGGGUGCUCGAGUGGCGAACGGGUGAGUAACACGUGAGUAACCUGCCCUUGACUUUGGGAUAACUUCAGGAAACUGGGGCUAAUACCGGAUAGGAGCUCCUGCUGCAUGGUGGGGGUUGGAAAGUUUCGGCGGUUGGGGAUGGACUCGCGGCUUAUCAGCUUGUUGGUGGGGUAGUGGCUUACCAAGGCUUUGACGGGUAGCCGGCCUGAGAGGGUGACCGGCCACAUUGGGGCCGAGAUACGGCCCAGACUCCUACGGGAGGCAGCAGUGGGGAAUAUUGCACAAUGGGCGGAAGCCUGAUGCAGCAACGCCGCGUGCGGGAUGACGGCCUUCGGGUUGUAAACCGCUUUCGCCUGUGACGAAGCGUGAGUGACGGUAAUGGGUAAAGAAGCACCGGCUAACUACGUGCCAGCAGCCGCGGUGAUACGUAGGGUGCGAGCGUUGUCCGGAUUUAUUGGGCGUAAAGGGCUCGUAGGUGGUUGAUCGCGUCGGAAGUGUAAUCUUGGGGCUUAACCCUGAGCGUGCUUUCGAUACGGGUUGACUUGAGGAAGGUAGGGGAGAAUGGAAUUCCUGGUGGAGCGGUGGAAUGCGCAGAUAUCAGGAGGAACACCAGUGGCGAAGGCGGUUCUCUGGGCCUUUCCUGACGCUGAAGAGCGAAAGCGUGGGGAGCGAACAGGCUUAGAUACCCUGGUAGUCCACGCUGUAAACGGUGGGUACUGGGUGUGGGGUCCAUUCCACGGGUUCCGUGCCGUAGCUAACGCUUUAAGUACCCCGCCUGGGGAGUACGGCCGCAAGGCUAAAACUCAAAGGAAUUGACGGGGCCCCGCACAAGCGGCGGAGCAUGCGGAUUAAUUCGAUGCAACGCGUAGAACCUUACCUGGGUUUGACAUGGAUCGGGAGUGCUCAGAGAUGGGUGUGCCUCUUUUGGGGUCGGUUCACAGGUGGUGCAUGGCUGUCGUCAGCUCGUGUCGUGAGAUGUUGGGUUAAGUCCCGCAACGAGCGCAACCCUUGUUCACUGUUGCCAGCACGUUAUGGUGGGGACUCAGUGGAGACCGCCGGGGUCAACUCGGAGGAAGGUGGGGAUGACGUCAAGUCAUCAUGCCCCUUAUGUCCAGGGCUUCACGCAUGCUACAAUGGCUGGUACAGAGAGUGGCGAGCCUGUGAGGGUGAGCGAAUCUCGGAAAGCCGGUCUCAGUUCGGAUUGGGGUCUGCAACUCGACCUCAUGAAGUCGGAGUCGCUAGUAAUCGCAGAUCAGCAACGCUGCGGUGAAUACGUUCCCGGGGCUUGUACACACCGCCCGUCAAGUCAUGAAAGUUGGUAACACCCGAAGCCGGUGGCCUAACCGUUGUGGGGGAGCCGUCGAAGGUGGGACUGGUGAUUAGGACUAAGUC
rnacentral:rRNA from 1 species